UUUAAUUUUGGUUAUUGUGCGGUUUUAUUUCAUACCAUAACUGUGUCCUCUUUCGAAAUACAACUGAGAAAAGCCAGAUCUGAAUCCCAGAAAUACAGUUUGACAAUGCUAUAACGUGCACCCUGUGAACUAGUUUGAGAAAUUUUCAUUAAAGAGACUUGCAUUACAUUACCUUUUAAGGAGACAGUUGGUCUCACUCUACAGGUGAUAGAAUUUAAAAAAAAAAGUCCCCCCCAUGUUUACCUCCUUUCUUAUACUUUCCACAACCACUCCAGAGUGGUCAGUAGCCGCUGUCCUAUCCUUACAAAUGCUGGAAAAGUACAUUGGGCAUGCCUGACAUAUUUACACACGAAGAUCUCUUCACCUUGCAAAAUCAUGACAUUCUCCCCGCUCGUGGUAUAAAUCUGACAUCCUACUCCCCUACCCCUCCUGGACACAGAGGGAUAUUUCUGUCCCCAUUGGACUGUGACACAAGGCACAAUCCGUCCGAAAUGAAAACCCAAUAUGGCUGCUGUCACUUUGCCCAAUCAGUGGAGCAUAUCCCUGGCCCACAAGCCUCACUAUGACCCCCUUAGAAUCUAUCCUUUGGAGACUGGAUGUAAUAGUCCGGGACUUUUGGCUGAAGCUCCAGAAUCGUAUACAACCUACUCACUCUGGGCAAAUGGAGGUAUCUCGGGGACGAGCAUGGCCAGGACAAGAGGGACCCCUCCAGGCCUUCGCGAGCACAAGUGCCUCUGCACUUUACCUAGGCCGAGAGCCCACUCUACCUGCUCACCCAGACUAGGGGACAGACCAGAUCUCAAGGGGCUCCCAAAUCCGUGCACGAACACUGCGGGCCUCCAAAUAGCACUGAGGCGGGAGGCAAGUCCUGAUCUGCGCUGGUUGGGCUCCCUACAUUAAUGCUGGUUCCAGCUGCCUCCCAGCAUUGGGAAUCGGAUGAUGUUGACUUUUGCCUGUAACUAUUAUCCCUGCUGAUACCCUAUCU